GGUCAGCUUGAGUGCAGGAGAGGAAAGCGGAAUUUCCUAGUGUAGCGGUGAAAUGCGUAGAUAUUAGGAGGAACACCCGUGGCGAAGGCGGCUUUCUGGACUGUAACUGACGCUGAGCACGAAAGCGUGGGAAGCAAACAGGAUUAGAUACCCUGGUAGUCCACGCUGUAAACGAUGAAUACUAGGUGUCGGGGGACAAAGCCCGGUGCCGCAGCUAACGCAUUAAGUAUUCCGCCUGGGGAGUACGGUCGCAAGACUGAAACUCAAAGGAAUUGACGGGGACCCGCACUAGCAGCGGAGCAUGUGGUUUAAUUCGAAGCAACGCGAAGAGCCUUACCAGGUCUUGACAUCCCUCUGAAUGGCGCUUAGCAGCGCAGGUCUUUCGGGACAGAGGAGACAGGUGGUGCAUGGUUGUCGUCAGCUCGUGUCGUGAGAUGUUGGGUUAAGUCCCGCAACGAGCGCAACCCUUGCCUUUAGUUGCCAGCACAUCAUGGUGGGCACUCUAGAGGGACUGCCGGUGACAAACCGGAGGAAGGUGGGGAUGACCUCAAAUCAUCAUGCCCCUUAUGAUCUGGGCUACACACGUGCUACAAUGGCCGGUACAACGAGAAGCGAAACCGCGAGGUGAAGCAAAUCUUUUAAAGC
rnacentral:rRNA from 1 species